CUUAUAUUCUGUAGCAAGGUUAACCGUAUAGGGGAGCCGAAGGGAAACCGAGUCUUAACUGGGCGUUAAGUUGCAGGGUAUAGACCCGAAACCCGGUGAUCUAGCCAUGGGCAGGUUGAAGGUUGGGUAACACUAACUGGAGGACCGAACCGACUAAUGUUGAAAAAUUAGCGGAUGACUUGUGGCUGGGGGUGAAAGGCCAAUCAAACCGGGAGAUAGCUGGUUCUCCCCGAAAGCUAUUUAGGUAGCGCCUCGUGAACUCAUCUUCGGGGGUAGAGCACUGUUUCGGCUAGGGGGUCAUCCCGACUUACCAACCCGAUGCAAACUGCGAAUACCGAAGAAUGUUAUCACGGGAGACACACGGCGGGUGCUAACGUCCGUCGUGAAGAGGGAAACAACCCAGACCGCCAGCUAAGGUCCCAAAGUCACAGUUAAGUGGGAAACGAUGUGGGAAGGCUCAGACAGCCAGGAUGUUGGCUUAGAAGCAGCCAUCAUUUAAAGAAAGCGUAAUAGCUCACUGGUCGAGUCGGCCUGCGCGGAAGAUGUAACGGGGCUAAACUGUGCACCGAAGCUGCGGCAGCGACGCUUAUGCGUUGUUGGGUAGGGGAGCGUUCUGUAAGCCUGCGAAGGUGUCCUGUGAGGGAUGCUGGAGGUAUCAGAAGUGCGAAUGCUGACAUAAGUAACGAUAAUGCGGGUGAAAAGCCCGCUCGCCGGAAGACCAAGGGUUCCUGUCCAACGUUAAUCGGGGCAGGGGGAGUCGACCCCUAAGGCGAGGCCGAAAGGCGUAGUCGAUGGGAAACGGGUUAAUAUUCCCGUACUUGGUGUUACUGCGAAGGGGGGACGGAGAAGGCUAUGUUGGCCGGGCGACGGUUGUCCCGGUUUAAGCGUGUAGGCUGGUUUUCCAGGCAAAUCCGGAAAAUCAAG
rnacentral:rRNA from 1 species